AUGACGUUCAUGAUGGUCAGUGGAACGAUGGUGGACAGGUGGUUGCGGUCGGCGGUGCAGGACAUGAAAGAAAAUAACUUGACAGAGGUUUUAUGUCCGUGUCGAAAAUGCAAAGGAAUAGUUUGGCUCGACCCCUAUGACGAUGGUCGUAUCGAAGCGCACCUGCUUAUGGCUGGUUUCAUGGAUGGCUAUACUCGGUGGAUAAUUGAAGAUGAGGAUGACGAUGCUGAGGACGCCGACAGGGCAGGCAAUGAUGACACGGGGCAAGACGAAGAGAUGAUCGAUAAUGGCGGCGGGGAAGAGGCCGGACAUGGCGGCGAAGAAGGGGCCGGACAUGGCGGAGGAGAAGGGGCCGGACAUGGCGGCGGAGAGAACGACGUGGACUCCACGCAGCAGAGUUCGUCGGUACUAAGUUCAAUCGUGCGGGACCCUCAUGUUCAAGCACUGCUUCGCAAGGAGACGAGUUCUGAGAGAGCUGCUUCUAGAGAGGAGGCUAAGCUGGAGCAACUGGUGGUAGACUCGAACACUCAAUUGUAUGAUGGUUGCAAUCCUGAGGUGACCCGCUUGAGUUUCACGCUCCAACUCCUAAAGACGAAGGCUAAAAACAAAUGGACCAACACUAGCCUCGAUGAGCAUCUCAAGUACCUAAAGGAUGUUCUUUCCGUGGGGAAUCUAUGUCCUACUAGUGUUGAUGAGGCCAAGAAGAUCGUGUGCCCUCUUGAUCUACCGCACGUUAGAUACCAUGCAUGCAUCAAUGAUUGCAUAAUUUAUCAGAAGGAGCACGCGGAAAAAACAAGCUGUCCGGUGUGCAAUGCUUCUCGAUACAAGAAGGCCGGGAAGAAAUGUCCCCAGAAAGUUGUAUGGUACUUACCGAUCACUCCUCGUCUCCAGCGGUAUUUUGUAGAUCCCAAGGAAGCAAAGCUAAUGCGCUGGCACGCGGAGAGGAAGAAGCCCGACGAUGGAGAUGAUCCGAAGCUGAGACACGUCAAGGAUGGAAGCCAGUGGAGAGCGUUGAACAGCUUCUAUCGGUAUUUCGAAUGUGAUGCAAGGAACAUCGUGCUCGGCGCGUGUACCGAUGGCAUGAAUCCGUUUGGCAACCAGAACACCAACCAUAGCACAUGGCCCGUGUUUGUAUGGAUGUACAACCUCCCCCCUGUUGUGCAUGAAGUAAAAGUACAUUCACAUGAGCAUGCUUAUUCAAGGGCCGAAACAACCAGGAAAUAA
rnacentral:rRNA from 1 species